CCUACGGGAGGCUGCAGUAGGGAAUAUUGCUCAAUGGGGGAAACCCUGAAGCAGCAACGCCGCGUGGAGGAUGAAGGUUUUCUGAUUGUAAACUCCUUUUGUUAGAGAAGAUAAUGACGGUAUCUAACGAAUAAGCACCGGCUCACUCCGUUCCAGCAGCCGCGGUCAUACGGAGGGUGCAAGCGUUACGCGGAAUCACUGGGCGUAAAGAGCGCGUAGGCGGGAUAGCAAGUCAGAGGUGAAUUCCUAUGGCUUAACCAUAGAACUGCAUUUGAUACUGUUAUUCUAGAGUAUGGGGGGGGUAGGUGGAAUUCUUGGUGUAGGGGUAAAAUCCGUAGAGAUCAAGAGGAAUACUCAUUGCGAAGGCGACCUGCUAGAACAUAACUGACGCUGAUGCGCGAAAGCGUGGGGAGCAAACAGGAUUAGAUACCCGUGUAGUC
rnacentral:rRNA from 1 species